GAUGAACGCUGGCGGCGUGCCUAAUACAUGCAAGUCGAGCGAACGGACGAGAAGCUUGCUUCUCUGAUGUUAGCGGCGGACGGGUGAGUAACACGUGGAUAACCUACCUAUAAGACUGGGAUAACUUCGGGAAACCGGAGCUAAUACCGGAUAAUAUUUUGAACCGCAUGGUUCAAAAGUGAAAGACGGUCUUGCUGUCACUUAUAGAUGGAUCCGCGCUGCAUUAGCUAGUUGGUAAGGUAACGGCUUACCAAGGCAACGAUGCAUAGCCGACCUGAGAGCGUGAUCGGCCACACUGGAACUGAGACACGGUCCAGACUCCUACGGGAGGCAGCAGUAGGGAAUCUUCCGCAAUGGGCGAAAGCCUGACGGAGCAACGCAGCGUGAGUGAUGAAGGUCUUCGGAUCGUAAAACUCUGUUAUUAGGGAAGAACAUAUGUGUAAGUAACUGUGCACAUCUUGACGGUACCUAAUCAGAAAGCCACGGCUAACUACGUG
rnacentral:rRNA from 1 species